ensembl:lncRNA
AUAAAUAUCAGGAAGGCAGACAAAAGCUGCGCGAAGCUGAACAGCAAUCAGACGGAUGCUGAAGAUGGCCGUGGAAGGGGGGCAAGGCGAAAAAAGACCAAGUAGCCGACUUCAACCAACUGCCGACACUUAUCUGGCGGAUAAUGAGGAUGAAUCAGGGCUACAGCAGCAUAGCAACGGUUUACCGGAUGCUCCACCAAUCAGCCCACCAAAAACCCUGACAACUCUCCACUCUAAGAUUGACCUCCACUCAACAAACAUAUGCUGGCCUUAACCAAAACCAACUGGAAGACGAGAUGUGCCAGUUUUCCUGCUUUCCUUGCAGGCAUGCAGACGACCAGAGGAACAGCUUGCAGACUCCAUAUCCCAAUCAGUGGCUUCAGCAGUGUGAAUCUUUUCAGGAGCCACAAAAGCCUGAAAAUCAAAGGACCCUGCAAAGGCCACAAGAUUCACCUGCAGCUGUCCAGGUACCUCCAAUAAAAUCCAAUUCAUGGACCCUGCGAAGGCCACAAAAUAAUGGGAGCUGCCACGAGACGCCUGCAUCAAGAGUUGGUGACAUUCCCCCAGAAACAAGAACAAGAAACAAGGACAUUCAUUCACCAGAAGGCCACUUCACAGAAGACAGUUCACCAAGUGGGAUCUACAGCAAGACACCUGCAAGAGUUGACUAUCCCGAUCAUCCAAAUCCAUGGCCUCAGCCAGUGCAUAAACUCCAGGAUGGCACAGAUCCUGGAGUCAUGAGGCCCUAUUUGAAACUACAAACUCAUUAAUGCAGGAAAUGCUCACCAAGCAGGAGAUGAUUCUCGAGCAGCAAACGCACAUCCUAAAAAAUUCUACAUGCCAGAAAACAUGUCCCUCAAUUUGAAAUGGAUGAGGGUCUCCUGCCAGUAAGGGACCAGCAAGGCCUCCAAAAUCUCAAAAGCCAACUUCAGGAAUCUGAUUUGAUCAAAACUGGUGAGUGAGUGAAUGAGUAUUUUUUUCCUGAUGUGACCUAAUGGACACUUAAAAUACUUUGGAAUAGUAUCCAGACGUGACAACGCCACUCUCUUUGGAGGGGAGAGACCCUGAAUUCAAUUAUCUUAUUGGCCAAAACCCCAUACGAGGUAGAUCAUAGACAGACAGAGGCUUCUGCGUGUACAAUGCAAUAUCACUUUUAUUUAAACAAUAACUUUAUAAAACCACAUCCAAAUAAUUUAUACCAGUAGUGAUUGACCGGGGGCACAAUGACACUUCCAACAAUAAAAACACUGCACACUGUUAAGAAAGGCUAAAAUAAGCAACA